UACGUAGGGGGCUAGCGUUGUCCGGAAUCAUUGGGCGUAAAGCGCGCGUAGGUGGCUUCGUAAGUCCGUUGUGAAAGUCAAAGGCUCAACCUUUGAAUGCCGAUGGAUACUGCGAAGCUAGAGUACGGAAGAGGCGAGUGGAAUUCCUGGUGUAGCGGUGGAAUGCGCAGAUAUCAGGAGGAACACCAAUAGCGAAGGCAGCUCGCUGGGACGUACUGACACUAAGGCGCGAAAGCGUGGGGAGCGAACAGG
rnacentral:rRNA from 1 species